rnacentral:rRNA from 1 species
GCAGGGAAUCUUGGGCAAUGGGCGAAAGCCUGACCCAGCGACACCGCGUGGAGGAUGAAUGCUUUCGGGUUGUAAACUCCUUUUCCGAGGGAAGAGAUAGGACGGUACCUCGGGAAUAAGCCCCGGCUAACUACGUGCCAGCAGCCGCGGUAACACGUAGGGGGCAAGCGUUACCCGGAUUUACUGGGCGUAAAGGGCGCGUAGGCGGUUCGGCAAGUCUCCUGUGAAAGCUCCCGGCUUAACUGGGAGAGGUCGGGGGAUACUACCGGGCUAGAGGGCAGCAGAGGAGAGUAGAAUUCCCGGUGUAGCGGUGAAAUGCGUAGAUAUCGGGAGGAAUACCAGUGGCGAAAGCGGCUCUCUGGGCUGUUCCUGACGCUGAGGCGCGAAAGCGUGGGUAGCAAACCGG